CUUGGCCCUUAUCGAAGCCACCAUGGUCUCAUUUGGUUGCAUGUGUGGUCAAAAAGGAGCCAAUAUUGACACUUCACCUGACGGUCGCUGAUCCGUUUAGCACGUAGCGGAGAAGCAACAUUACAGGGAAGGACAGUC
ensembl:snoRNA